UACGGAGGGUGCAAGCAUUAAUCGGAUUUAUUGGGCGUAAAGGGCGCGUAGGCGGAUGUGCAAGUUAAGUGUGAAAUUCCGAAGCUCAACUUCGGAGCUGCACUUAAGACUGCGGAUCUUGAGGAUUGGCGGAGAAAAUGGAAUUCCACGUGUAGCGGUGAAAUGCGUAGAUAUGUGGAAGAACACCGGUGGCGAAAGCGAUUUUCUAGCUUAUUCCUGACGCUGAGGCGCGAGAGCAAGGGGAGCAAACAGG
rnacentral:rRNA from 1 species